GUGUAAACUCUAUCAUAUCAUAUCUGUUUUGAGAUGAACAGCGACUAUUGUUUAAGUGUUGACAGUAAACAUGCCGGGUAGCGUGUUGGGUGUCAUAUACAUGAGAGGGUGUUUUGGAGAAGUUCAUGAAGCCAUAUCGCACAGAGCACACAGCAGGAGUCACACUGUCCUCAUCCCCCAACCUCGAGACAAACAGGAAGAGGAAACAGCAGCGGGGACAGGGAACCAGGGGAGGGAGAGACAGCCGUGAAAAAUGAACAAGAUACAGCAGAGAUGCAGUCUCAGUAUCAGACGGAUUUCCCUCCUCCGUCCUCCUGUCGCAGGAGGCGAACACCCGCCCUCCCGCAGCCGGACAACAUUGGCAUCAACCCGGCCUUCAGGAUCGAGUUUAACACAGUUCAAAGAGAGACGUAUGCUGGUUGGCCCGUCAUGAACCCCAGGUAUGCCGGGCCAGCGGACUGAAAGCAGCCCCCAUCCUGACAACCCAACAUGGCUUCUGAAAGAAAGUCUCUACCAUAUAAACACACACUGUACCUGUCAACUCCAUCCCAGCGAUAUCCUGGUGGAAGAUUGAAUCGGUUUGGAGGUGGUGGCGGUCCUUUAUACUGAGGUUUUGCUGGCAUAUUUGAGCUCCGAACUUUUUUCCGUCUGAGCAUCGCAGCCAUCGGAUCUCCAUCCCUCUCCUGCUCUCUCAACAUACGAUCAAGGUCCUUGUCAUCGGAGUGACGUGCCAGCGGCUUCUCGGAUUCAUGCAACGCAUCCUCAAGUUUCUGCUGAUGCAUCUGGCCCUGGGCCAACCUAUAGACAUACGUUGACUUUAAUUUACAGAAAACAAGUCAGAGCAUAACAUAUUUCAAUUUUAAUUGACAUGGCCAUAAUCACUCUCUGUAGUUUUCUCUGGUGUAGUGUAAGUAAUAAGUGUUUGCAAACUCACCCUCUCCCCCACUUGGCGUAUUUCUCAUCCUUUGCUGCUUUUUCUCCAGCUUUCUUCUUGUGUUCUUCUCUCUCCGAUUCCAGAUCUCUCCUUUUACCUCCUUUGUCUCGGAACACGGUCCGGGCAUUACGUGAUUCAUCUAUUCAAAGCAGGAAUACAGGUAAAACAUAAAUAACAUUUUAUAAGAACAAAGCACAGCUAUUACCAAAGUAAUCAGUAUACUCUUGGAGUAUCAUGACUCAUUUGAAUGAAAUAUCCAGGGAACUUUGUAGUCAACAGCUGUGAAGGGUAAAGUUCAUUAAAAGAGAAAAGCUGAGCCAACCUUCCAGCGGCUGGGGUACUCCGUCUCUGCGGCGCUUCUCUUCCUUCUCUUUCCGUAAAACAUCUAUAGAAAGCAGACCUGCCUGUCCACCAGAAAGUAUCCCAUGAAAGCAGACACACACUGUUAACACAGCUAUCUGAGAAUUAAAAAAUGUAUCUAGAAUUUAUCACAUUUUUCUUACCUGUGACUGGCCAGGCCUACGAGGAGGUGACAGAUCUUCAUCUGAGACCCUUUCACUCUUUGGCCGCCUCCUGGGUGGAGACUGAUCAGUAUCGGGUUCUGGUUUUCUUUUUGAGGGCCUCCUUGGAGGAGAUUGGUCGAGGUCUGUAGCUUCCUUUACUGGCUUCUUCCUUGGAGGAGACUGAUCAGAGUCUGAAUCAUUCCUGUUCUGAUCCCUCUUUGUCAGUGGUGAGCCACGGGGAUCAGGUGAGCGUUUUUUACUAGGCUGUCUUCCAGUGGGUGAAGAAUCUGACAAAGACAUAAUUACUUGUUUAGACAAUCGUUCAUAUAAAUGUUUAUAUCAAUAAACACUUGUUGUACUAUUAGGGGAUGACAGGAAGGUAAAAGGUUGACUGGACAUAUAGAGAUAUAUGCAGAUUCCUAGGUUAUCAAAUUUUAUUGUUAUUUUAUUUAUAUAGCAUCAUAUACAAUGUUGUUAUCCAAAAUUAGACUCCAAAGAAAUUUCGAACUUUAAGUUAUUUUUUACUAAAUGAUUUUUUUCAGCAAUUCUGUUUUAGUUGGACAAAUUCAUCAAAUGAGAUGGAUGUAAACGCGACAAUAACUUAACCACGUAUGCUGAUGUCUUCUGGUUAUCGUGAUGUUGUUAUUUUUGUUCAUAUCAUAUUGUCCAAUGCAACAAUAAAAUAGAUUUAGCCUAAUAUAUUACUUCUCACCUUUACUUUGUACCUUCCCUGAUUUCUUUGAGUGUUGACGUGAAGGCGACAUGUCUGGCGAGUCAUGGCGAUCUCUCCUUGGAGAAGAUUUGUCCGGAGAGUCGUGGCGACCUUGCCUGGGAGAUUUGUCCGGAGAGUCGUGGCGACCUUGCCUGGGAGAUUUGUCCGGAGAGUCGUGUCGAUCUCUUCUGGUUGGAGAUGCAUCUGGAGAAUCAUGUUGACUCCCGCUUGAGUCGUUAUCUUCAUCAGCUAUAAGAAGAGGACACUCAAAGUGAACAAUGAUCUUUACCACACUGGCAAAUGUUCUCUCUGCCACUUUUACAAACAAUUAUUACCUCCAAUCACUUUCCAUCUAUUGCCGGUUCUGAAGGCUUCCAGCUGUUUGACCUCAUCUGGACGAUCAUCAAUCAUCUCCGCAACCUGAGGAGAAAAACAAGAGACUAAGAUUAAAGAAAACAUUUGUCAAUACGGCGAAUCAAUUUAA